rnacentral:rRNA from 1 species
CUGCCGCGUGAGUGAUGAAGGCCUUAGGGUUGUAAAGCUCUUUCACCGGGGAAGAUAAUGACGGUAUCCGGAGAAGAAGCCCCGGCUAACUUCGUGCCAGCAGCCGCGGUAAUAGUACGUGCCAGCAGCCGCGGUAAUAAUA